rnacentral:rRNA from 1 species
AUUGAACGCUGGCGGCAGGCCUAACACAUGCAAGUCGAACGGUAACAGGAAGAAGCUUGCUUCUUUGCUGACGAGUGGCGGACGGGUGAGUAAUGUCUGGGAAACUGCCUGAUGGAGGGGGAUAACUACUGGAAACGGUAGCUAAUACCGCAUAACGUCGCAAGACCAAAGAGGGGGACCUUCUGGCCUCUUGCCAUCGGAUGUGCCCAGAUGGGAUUAGCUAGUAGGUGGGGUAACGGCUCACCUAGGCGACGAUCCCUAGCUGGUCUGAGAGGAUGACCAGCCACACUGGAACUGAGACACGGUCCAGACUCCUACGGGAGGCAGCAGUGGGGAAUAUUGGACAAUGGGCGCAAGCCUGAUGCAGCCAUGCCGCGUGUAUGAAGAAGGCCUUCGGGUUGUAAAGUACUUUCAGCGGGGAGGAAGAGAGUAAAGUUAAUACCUUGGCUCAUUGACGUUACCCGAAGAAGAAGCACCGGCUAACUCCGUG